rnacentral:rRNA from 1 species
GUGGGGAAUCUUCCGCAAUGGGCGAAAGCCUGACGGAGCAACGCCGCGUGAGUGAAGAAGGCCUUCGGGUCGUAAAGCUCUGUCUUUAGGGAAGAACGGCGCAGGGAGUAACUGCCCUGCGAUUGACGGUACCUAAGGAGGAAGCUCCGGCUAACUACGUGCCAGCAGCCGCGGUAAUACGUAGGGAGCGAGCGUUGUCCGGAAUUACUGGGCGUAAAGGGCGCGUAGGCGGGAAUUUAAGUAAGGUGUGAAAACUAUGGGCUCAACCCAUAGACUGCACUUUAAACUGGAUUUCUUGAGGGCAGGAGAGGAAAGUGGAAUUCCUAGUGUAGCGGUGAAAUGCGUAGAUAUUAGGAGGAACACCAGUGGCGAAGGCGACUUUCUGGACUGUACCUGACGCUGAGGCGCGAAAGCGUGGGGAGCGAACAGGAUUAGAAACCCCAGUAGUCC